rfam:Ixodes scapularis strain Wikel colony gcontig_1107728554994, whole genome shotgun sequence.
UCCUGCUUAGCUCAGUUGGUAGAGCGAUCCACUGGAAAUGGAGAGGUUUCUGGUCCGAUACCAAGACCAGGCG